ACCUGGAUAGCUCAGUCAGUACAACAUGAGACUCUUAAUCUCGGGGUCAUGGCUUUGAGCCCCAUGUAGGGCA
rnacentral:tRNA from 1 species